rnacentral:tRNA from 1 species
UAAAGACUUAAAAGUUUACUUGCAUUAAUAUAUACAAAAGUCUAUUAAUU